AGAGGGUUAGCCCCUUGACAAUGGAAAGGAAUAAGGGAGAAAAAACAGAUGAAGGAGAGUAUGAAGAAGUAGAGUGGCACUUUAUAUACCCCAUCUCCAAGCGUCACAGACAGCUUGCAAGGAGGAAAACGGACACAUUAGAAGACCAUGUUGAAAGUCUGCCAAUGUUACCGUCUGCUUGCUGAUAAUGAUUUUUCUUCUUCCCUGCCUGGAGGGAAGGGAGGGACAGUUCUCUGCUCCACUGAAGCUAGCACGGCCAUGUGACCCGUGUUGCCAGUGAAACAGGAGGAGAAGGGACAUCUGGGUGGAAACAUUUAGGAGGCAAGUGUAUUUCUCCAUACUCUCUUUCUUUGGCUUUGGCAGUGAUGGAGGUACGUGUUGAGAUGGAGAUGCCAUUACACUGAAGCAGCUGAGAAUGCCCAGCCAACAUAUGGAGGACAGCUGCCCUGGAGAGCAUCCUGGACCAGUGAUGGCUCUGCUUGAGCAAGAAAUACACUUCUGUUUUUUACAUCCUUGAAAUCUUGGAAUUAUUUGUUACUGUAGCAACCUAUCUAAACUGACCAA